CAGUGUUAUAAAAGGUCUCGGAACACUUCGACGACACUUCGCACUUCAGCACCAUGAAGAACACAGCUGUCCUCGUCGCCCUGUCCAUCUUCUGUGUGGUCCUAGUGGCCAAUGCACAAAACAUUACUUCUAGAGUCGUAAGACAGGUUGCCAUGCCACCUCAAGCAUUCGCUGUGGCUGAUAUGACCAUGCCUGAUGAUAUGCCGAUGGGUGUAGCGGACGAGAUGGGUCCGAUGCAGACAGGUGCCUAGCUCUUGGAGCACUCAAUGGAAACAUUGUAACAAAUAUGAAAUAAAACUGAGUACAAUUGUAA